UGGGGAAUAUUGCACAAUGGGCGCAAGCCUGAUGCAGCCAUGCCGCGUGUAUGAAGAAGGCCUGCGGGUUGUAAAGUACUUUCAGCGGGGAGGAAGGGAGUAAAGUUAAUAACUUUGCUCAUUGACGUUACCCGCAGAAGAAGCACCGGCUAACUCCGUGCCAGCAGCCGCGGUAAUACGGAGGGUGCAAGCGGUAAUCGGAAUGACUGGGCGUAAAGCGCACGCAGGCGGUUUGUUAAGUCAGAUGUGAAAUCCCCGGGCUCAACCUGGGAACUGCAUCUGAUACUGGCAAGCUUGAGUCUCGUAGAGGGGGGUAGAAUUCCAGGUGUAGCGGUGAAAUGCGUAGAGAUCUGGAGGAAUACCGGUGGCGAAGGCGGCCCCCUGGACGAAGACUGACGCUCAGGUGCGAGAGCGUGGGGAGCAAACAGG
rnacentral:rRNA from 1 species